GUCAGUCAGUCAGUACGGUAGGCAUCCUCGCGGCAGUACACCUCUGCACCGAUCAAGUUUCGCGAACAAGAAACGGGUGGAAACAAAAACCCCAAACGAACGGAAUCUGGCCGAAGACAGAAAAACACCGGCCUAGCAAGUGUUCCUCCACGUUGGAAACAAGCGUCAAAGAAAUCGGAUUCUUCCACCGCAUGGAAACGCGAAAGUGAAUUCCAAUCGGAAACUCUUGCAAGGCUGCAGGAAACAAAAGCGCGAGGAUUGCUUUAAAACGGUCGAGGUAGGACACAUAAAGUCAUCACCAUCAACAACACCCAAAGAAGCCUUCUAAAAAGAAGGCUUCUUUAACAGACAUUAUCUACCGUACUGGCAUCGGAUUUGAAGUAAACAGUGCCCGCACGUCGUUCGAGGCAUCGGGCAGUAGAUCGACGUGCAGCGGCCCACGCGGGUAGGAGAAAGUAAACAGCACCCUCACGUCGUUCGAGGCAGCGGGCAGUAGAUCGACGUGUAGCGGUCCACGCGAGAAGAGUAGGAGAAGGCAAACAACGCCCCCACGUCGUUCGAGGCAGCGGGCAGUAGAUCGACGUGGAGUGACACGUGUGCAGGAUCGACAUUCCAGCGUCCUAUUUCGUCAGACGGUGACAACGAGGACAAAUAGGAGAAGCGUAAACAAGUCAUCGUAGUUGGGGCACGGAGCCGAGCGAGUGUUUAGCCACAAAGUGGCGUUCUGAAAGAUCGCGUUAUCGAACGCAUUUCUGCAUGCUGAAACCCCUUCGCACGUAUGCGGAGAACUCUCAACGGGGCCCCGUUCAUCGACAGCAGUACAGCAGAGCAUCAGUCGUGUCAACAAGGUACCUUAGUUUUAAGUAGCGUAAGAAUGAGCACUCGUAAAGAAUAUAUUUGUAACAAUGCAUAUGUUAUGCUAGUAUUUUGUUAACCGUGUCCCAUUGACUGCACGAGUACCUUAUGAACCAGUACAAGUUGCUUAGCCGGGCAUGAUCUUUGAAUGCAAUAGGUCUCGCCCACUCAAUAGGCAUUCCUGUGUGCAAUGUCAGCAUUUGAGCGAUAAAUAAAUUUAGUUACAAAUGAAAAUAAGAAAAACGUUAUACUUGGUACUAAACGACACGUACAUUAAAACAUGGUUAUACUAUAACAGUUCUGAUUCCCCAGCAAACAAAAUCAACUACACUGAUGAAAAUAAAAAUUUGAUUUAAAUAAUUACUUUCAUUUGUUUGCAGAAGGCAUUAGCAAUUAAAGAUGCACAAUCAGCAAUAGUGUUAAUAUCCAUUUUAGCUUAGACAAUUUCGCUGUAUUAUUUGUAAAUGUUUUAAAAAAGUUCACAAAAAAAUAUUUCCAAUAGAAUAUUUAAAUAAACUUUAUCUUAUUCUUUGUUUUGCAUUUUCUGAGAAAUUGUAUUUAUAAACUUGACGUAGACUUAAUAAACUUGACGUAGAGUUUGGAAUCAAAACAUUGAAUAUUUUUUCGUUGACGUAUUAGCAGUACCUCCUCUAUUUUAGUAGUAGAUCUGAAAAUGUUAUAAAUAGAUUUUUGAAACUUCAAAUACUAUCAUUAAUAAAAAAAUUAUAAAUGACCUUCAUUUGCUUGAGU